CACGUAGGAGCCAAGCGUUAUCCGAAUUCACUGGGCGUAAAGCGCGUGUAGGCGGCAUAUUAAGUUGGAUGUGAAAGCUCCUGGCUCAACUGGGAGAGGACGUUCAAUACUGGUAGGCUAGAGGGCGACAGAGGGAGGUGGAAUUCCCGGUGUAGUGGUGAAAUGCGUAGAUAUCGGGAGGAACACCAGUGGCGAAGGCGGCCUCCUGGGUCGCACCUGACGCUCAGACGCGAAAGCUAGGGGAGCGAACGGGAUUAGAAACCCUUGUAGUCC
rnacentral:rRNA from 1 species